UACGUAGGGAGCAAGCGUUGUUCGGAUUUACUGGGCGUAAAGGGCGCGUAGGCGGCGCGGUAAGUCACUUGUGAAAUCUCUGAGCUUAACUCAGAACGUCCAAGUGAUACUGCAGUGCUAGAGUGCAGAAAGGGCAAUCGGAAUUCUUGGUGUAGCGGUGAAAUGCGUAGAUAUCAAGAGGAACACCUGAGGCGAAGGCGGGUUGCUAGGAUGACACUGACGCUGAGUGCGCGAAAGCCAGGGGAGCAAACGGG
rnacentral:rRNA from 1 species